ensembl:lncRNA
CGGGCCGUUGCUUGGUGUUCCUUGGUAAUUAAAGGAAAGGUUUUGACGUUUUAUUGACAACUUAUUAUCCACAGCGUGGCGAUCUGCUCGGUGCGUUAAUGGAGUCAGAGGUCCACGUCUGCGGACGUGCUCCCGCUUCUCCACGCGGCGCAGUGCAGUGGAGAGAAGCUGGAUUCAGGACAUACCAGACCGUCUACAGAGGAGGAACUAAUACACGAGUAAACACUGCUUAAAGGGGGGUGGAAGAAGACUUCACGGGGGAGGAGGACUUCACGGGGGGUGGAGGAGGACUUCACAGGCUCCUUCCAGAAGCGGUGGUGGAGGAGGAAGACCCGACGAGGCGCCGAGUGGGUUAAAGGAAAGCUUGGAACGCCGGAGAGGGCGCGUCCUGUCCAAUCACAGCUCCGGACAGCUCGCCGCCGUCCAAUCACAGCGCCGGAGAGGACGCUGCUGUCCAAUGGGAGCGCUGUGGUGGAGUCCAGCCCACCGCCUCCCGGACGGCGGCUCCCAGCCGGCCUGUGUUCAGUCACUCCUCCGCGGUCCCCGACCCGCCUGCAGCCCCCCACGACCCGGCUCUCCUCCACGACCACGGCUCUCCUCCUGCUCUCUCGCUCCUUUAUUAUCUGUCGUGGAUCCUUAAAGCCCACCGAGGACUUGUUUGCUGAGGGACCCCAUGUGGCGGUGAAGAGCGGCGGAAUACACACCGGAGAGACGGCCCCCGGGGCCCCGGGCUGGAGAAAGGCGCAGUGCUCCAGUAGUCUGACCGCUGGUCAGGGAGUCGUCACCAUGGCCCUGAGCCCCGCCCCUCCCACCCCUGCUGCUCGCCAACAGAGAUCACCAUGGCAACCACCAGGAGCCACCCGGCGACGCCCCUAGCGACCGCCUCACCCCAGCCCGUUAGGCGACGCCCCGCGGCCCACGACGGACGGACGACGGACGGACAGAACGGCUCCCUGAAGCCCCUCCCCUGCCCCUCCCCUCCUCCUCCCCCGCCGAGGACCCGCC